rnacentral:rRNA from 1 species
CCUACGGGAGGCUGCAGUGAGGAAUAUUGGUCAAUGGCCGAGAGGCUGAACCAGCCAAGUCGCGUGAGGGAAGAAUGUCCUAUGGAUUGUAAACCUCUUUUGUCAGGGAGCAAAGUCACCCACGUGUCGGUGUUGGAGAGUACCUGAAGAAAAAGCAUCGGCUAACUCCGUUCCAGCAGCCGCGGUAAUACGGAGGAUGCGCGCGUUAUCCGGAUUUAUUGGGUUUCAAGGGUGCGUAGGCGGGAUGUCAAGUCAGCGGUAAAAUCGUGGAGCUCAACUCCAGCCAGCCGUUGAACCUGGUGGUCUUGAGUGGGCGAGAAGUAUGCGGAAUGCGCGGUGUAGCGGUGAAAUGCAUAGAUAUCACGCAGAACUCCGAUUGCGAAGGCAGCAUGCCGGCGCCAGACUGACGCUGAGGCACGAAAGCGUGGGUAUCGAACAGGAUUAGAUACCCGUGUAGUC